UUCCAGACUCCUACGGGAGGCAGCGGUGGGGGAUAUUGCACAAUGGGGGAAACCCUGAUGCAGCGACGCCGCGUGGGUGAAGAAGCGCCUCGGCGCGUAAAGCCCUGUCAGCAGGGAAGAAAAUGACGGUACCUGAAGAAGAAGCCCCGGCUAACUACGUGCCAGCAGCCGCGGUAAUACGUAGGGGGCAAGCGUUAUCCGGAUUUACCGGGUGUAAAGGGAGCGUAGACGGCACUGCAAGUCCGGAGUGAAAGCCCAAGGCUUAACCAUGGGACUGCUCUGGAAACUGUGGAGCUUGAGUGCGGGAGGGGCAGGCGGAAUUCCUAGUGUAGCGGUGAAAUGCGUAGAUAUUAGGAGGAACACCGGCGGCGAAGGCGGCCUGCUGGACCGUAACUGACGUUGAGGCUCGAAAGCGUGGGGAGCAAACAGGAUUAGAUACCCCCGUAG
rnacentral:rRNA from 1 species